rnacentral:rRNA from 1 species
UACAGAGGGUGCGAGCGUUGUUCGGAAGUAUUGGGCGUAAAGGGCGCGUAGGCGGUGCGGUAAGUCACCUGUGAAACCUCUGGGCUUAACUCAGAGCCUGCAGGCGAAACUACCGUGCUGGAGUGUGGGAGAGGUGCGUGGAAUUCUCGGUGUAGCGGUGAAAUGCGUAGAUAUCGGGAGGAACACCUGUGGCGAAAGCGGCGCACUGGACCACAACUGACGCUGAGGCGCGAAAGCUAGGGGAGCAAACAGG